CUUAACCCUAAUUGCUAAGUCACUCUGGAUAAGAGUGUCUGCUAAAUGACAAAAC
rfam:Salmo salar isolate Sally breed double haploid chromosome ssa14, whole genome shotgun sequence.